rnacentral:rRNA from 1 species
UACGAAGGGUGCAAGCGUUGCUCGGAAUUAUUGGGCGUAAAGCGCACGUAGGCGGCUUAGCAAGUUGGAUGUGAAAUCCCUCGGCUCAACCAAGGAAGUGCAUCCAAAACUGCUGAGCUUGAGUACUUAAGAGGAUCGCGGAAUUCCCGGUGUAGAGGUGAAAUUCGUAGAUAUCGGGAGGAACACCAGUGGCGAAGGCGGCGAUCUGGGAAGAUACUGACGCUGAGGUGCGAAAGCGUGGGGAGCGAACAGG